AUGGAGGGGAUACUGGUGAGUGCAGCAACGGGGGCCCUGGACGCCGUCCUGGAGAAGCUGGCCACUUUGCUGGUCAACGAGUACAAGCUUCACAAGGGGGUGCGCGGCGAGAUCAAGUUUCUGAUUGAUGAGCUUACCGCCAUGCACGCCUUUCUCCUGAAGAUGUCGGAGGAGGAGGAUCCUGACGUGCAAGAUAAGGUAUGGAUGACCAUGGUGCGGGAGCUCUCCUAUGAUAUAGAGGACUCCAUCGACGACUUCGUGCAAGGUGGCGAAGGUGGUGUCGACGACAAAGAUGCUAAGCCAGAUGGCUUCAUAAAGAAAAUCAAGCACAUUUUGGGGAAGUUGGGGAAGAGGAAGGCCCACCAUCGGAUGUUCGAAGAUUUGAAGAAACAAGUCAUUGAGGCGGGCGAGAGAAAUGAAAGGUACAAGACACGUCAGGUCUUCUCCAACACGAAAAAUGCGACCGUUGACCCUAGAGCUCUUGCUAUCUUUGAGGAUGCUUCAAAGCUUGUUGGAAUGGACGAACCCAAGGCUGAGAUAACCGAAAUGUUGACUAAAGAAGAUGGGGUUGCAUCAACACAACUGCAACAAGUGAAGAUGGUCUCCAUCGUUGGAUCUGGAGGAAUGGGCAAGACAACUCUUGCGAACCAAGUGUAUCAAGACCUCAAAGGCAAAUUCGAGUGUCGGGCUUUCGUGUCAGUGUCAAGAAAUCCAGAUAUGACGAAUAUAUUGAGAACCAUUCUCAGUGAAGUUAGUUGUCAAGAUUAUGCACACACUGAAGCAGGGAGCAUACAACAACUCAUAAGCAAGAUUAGUGGUUACCUAGCAGAGAAAAGGUAUUUUAUAGUGAUAGAUGAUAUAUGGGAUGUUAAAACCUGGAAUGUGAUUAAGUACGCAUUACCCAUGACCGGAUGUGACAGUGUAAUAAUCACCACCACUCGUAUGAGUGAUGUCGCGUGUUCAUGUCGUUCAUCAAUCGGUGGCCAUAUUUAUAAUAUAAGACCUCUUAAUAUGGCACACUCACGACAACUGUUUCAUGGAAGAUUAUUCAACUCCGAAGAAGAAUGUCCUUCAUCACUUGAAAAAGUUUCUGACCAAAUCUUGAAAAAAUGUGAUGGCUUGCCUUUGGCGAUCAUUGCUAUAUCUGGUUUGUUGGCUAACACAGGAAAAACGGAACAUCUAUGGAACCAAGUGAAAGAUUCAAUUGGUCGUGCACUUGAAAGGAAUCCUAGCGUCGAAUGGAUGAUAAAGAUAUUGUCACUCAGCUACUAUGAUCUGCCUCCUCAUCUAAAAACUUGUCUCUUGUAUCUUAGUAUAUUUCCAGAAGAUUCUAUUAUUGAGAAGAAAUACCUUAUAUGGAGAUGGAUUGCCGAAGGAUUUGUUCAUAAAGAAGGGAGAUAUUCAGCAUAUGAGUUGGGAGAGAGGUGUUUUAAUGAGCUUGUCAAUAGGAGUUUGAUCCAACCUGUGAAGCUGGGCAAGUAUGAUAAGGUGCUUAGUUGUCGUGUUCAUGACACAAUUCUUGAUUUCAUAGUAUCCAAGUCCAAUGAAGAGAACUUUGUUACUUUUGUUGGUGUCCCCAGUUUAACUAUCGGUACACAAAGCAGAGUACGUCGGCUCUCCAUGCAAGUUGAAGGGGAAGGACAUUCUGCCAUACCGACUAGCCUGAUACUGUCUCAUGUCCGAUCACUUAAUGUGUUUGGGAAUACAGUGAAAAUCCCUUCAAUUAUGGAGUUCACUCAUUUGCGCACUUUGGACUUUGGAGGUUGCAGUCAAUUAGAAAACCACCAUCUUGCAAAUGUAGGGCAUCUGUUUCAGCUAAGGUACCUUGACAUUAGCAGGACCGAGGUAAGUGAGCUUCCGGAACAAAUCGGACAUCUACGGUGCUUAGAGAUGUUGGACAUAACAGGAACAAAUAUAUCUGAUUUACCAGCAAGUAUUGUCAAUCUCGGAAAAUUGGCACAUUUACGUGUUAGUGGACAUGUUAGGUUUCCUGAUGGAAUUGCAAAGAUGCAAGCACUGGAAACGUUAAAAUGGGUGCAUGCCUGGCAGUCAUAUAACUUUCUGGAAGAGCUUGGGCAGCUCAAGAAUCUGAGGAGGCUGGACCUUAAUCAUAUGGAUGUUGCCCAAGAGCACAAGGAAGUUAUUGCUUCUUCUCUCCGUAAGUUAUGCACACAGAACCUUUGUUCUCUAAGUAUGUGGAAUGAUCAUGACAGUAUCUUACUGAACACAUGGUGCACCGCUCCGCCGCUUAACCUACAGAAACUUGUUACCUUUGACUCAACCCUCCCAAAGCUUCCGGACUGGAUAGGAUCACUUGUGAACCUGCAGAAGUUACGCUUGCAAUUGGAGAGAAUCCGGCAUGAAGAUUUGUGCAUCCUUGGAGCAUUACCCGCUCUGCUCACUCUGGGCCUUGAUGGAAUGAAUGAUCAGUCUUCUUGUGAAGAUAGAAGGCUGACAGUCAGUCCUGAAGCUGGCUUCCGAUGCCUGAGAGUGUUCACUUAUAUGGUACAGGAAGAUAGGAUGAUGGAUCUCAUGUUUACCGCAAGAUGUAUGCCCAAGCUGGAAAAACUGGAGAUUAUUUUUAGCGGCAACAUUGAAAAUGAAUCUCUCAGCAGUGCUGGUGCUUUUGAUUUCGGGAUCGAAAACCUCUCCAGCCUUGUUACUUUCAGAUGUGAGUUAGAUUGCCGGGGUAUCAAGGGGAGCACUAUUGAUGCUGCAAAGGCUUCAGUGGAGAGAAUAGUCAGCACACAUCCCAAUAACCACCUUAAUCUAAUCUUUGAUGAUGGCAUUCUUCGGUUAUGA
rnacentral:rRNA from 1 species